AGGACGAACGCUGGCGGCGCGCUUUACACAUGCAAGUCGAGCGAGAACCAGGACUUCGGUCCUGGGGACAGCGGCGAACGGGUGAGUAACACGUGAGUAAUCUGCCCUCAGCACCGGGAUAGCCCAGGGAAACUUGGAUUAAUACCGGAUAGCCCGCCUCCCCUUCGGGGGAAUCGGAAAAGGUAGCUUUGGCCUCUGGCUGAGGAUGAGCUCGCGGCGGAUUAGCUUUGGUUGGCGGGGUAAUGGGCCCACAAGGCGACGAUCCGUAGCUGGUCUGAGAGGACGAUCAGCCACACUGGGACUGAGACACGGCCCAGACUCCUACGGGAGGCAGCAGUGGGAAUCUUGCGCAAUGGGCAAAGCCUGACGCAGCGACGCCGCGUGCGGAAGAAGGCUCGGGUGUAAACCGCUUACGAGGAGGACGAAGCCAUCGGUAAUAGCCCAGAGGUCGACGUACCUCCGAGAACGAAGUCCCCCGACUAACCUACGU
rnacentral:rRNA from 1 species